AGUAGGCAGGCAGGUACCACACCACGUGGCCCGUGGAUGGGGGAUGGGAGCCUGGAGAGUCCAAACCUGAGCUAGGGAGGAAAGAGACGGCCGAAGUGGUUCUCUGAGGAGACGUUAGCUGGGCCAGGAAAGGCACUGCAGGCAGCAGGUCAUCCCGGGCGAGGGAAGAACCUCCAGCAGCCCAUCAGAGAGCUGAGGUCACGAGGCAAGCAGGGGAACCAAACUGCAGAGGUUGACAGGUCACUCCAAGGAGCGUGAGACACACGCACGGUUUCACCCGGGGCAGAGGGGAGGAAAGGACGCUGCCAAUACAGCAGGAAACUCAGGCAAGACGCCGCGCUUGCUGGCAGCAAAGCCAGCGUGAUGGAUGACACCAUUCACCACAACAAGAUGGCCACACCGUGGCAGGCGCCCAGGGCUCGUGAUCGCUCCCGGUGGGACUGAGUGGUUCACAGUGAGUCCAGGUCGGAGAACAGGCAGGUCCUAAAGGUCCGGAUUCAUGACCAGGGAUUCCCUGGAAGAAGAUCUGAAAGAAGCCCAGGCCCUAGGUGGAGCUCCUCUGCCUCCACGUGGAGCCACCCACCUGGAUUCCUGCAGAGCCCUGGAAGUCCUGGAACCCUGAAGUGGCUGCCUCUAGAGGAGGGCUCGGGCACAGUCAGCAGAGCCAGGAGGGCUGGGACCCUGCCACAGCCACAGUCCAAUUCCUGCAGUGGUCCUGGAGGGAGGUCUGGGCCCACCAUCACCUGCCUGGCCCAGUACAGAGCUCUUCUGAGGCCCCUGCCUUUCCUGACCACAGGAAGCCCUGCCAGGAAACAAGCAUAACACCAUCCCCUGGGCGGGGCUCCGGUGCUGAAUUGACAUCAUCAGAUGGACUAACCGCCCUGGUGACAGAGUUGGUGCCGUUUCCCAGAUCCUCCUUGGGACAACCUUGCUAGUCACCCCUUCCUCCCUGCCCUCAGGGUCAACAGCCGGCCUAGCCAACCCGGGGUGGGAGGACGCCUGCUGCCUCCUGUUGCGGCAGACUCCCUCUCCCCUCUCUCUGCAGUCUCACUGGCAAAUGAGUAAGAAGAAUAGAAUUACAGUUGGGCUACACGAGACACAGAAUUAGCGGGAUUAAAUAAAAAUAGCUAUUAAAAGUGCCUUA
ensembl:lncRNA